rnacentral:misc_RNA from 1 species
AUUUUUUUCGGUUUGUAAAAAAAUUCAAUAAAAUGCAAUACUUAAACACAUUUUUACCAAUUUCAACUCCAUAAACUCCUAAUUUUCCUUUGUAAUUUGCUCUAACAAUCAGUUAAUAACAACAGCAUUUUUCAAAUAUACCCACAAGGAAAUAAUAAUAAUAAUAAUAAGCAUCUCGAAUUUUGGAAAUUCCAGAAAAGAAAAAAAAUAAUUAAAACUCACCAUAAAUUAAGAAAAAAAAGAGUGACAAACUCCCAAUUGUUUUCCCGUAAGAACUCCCAAUCAUUUCUGCACUUGAACCCAGCUUUAUACGCUUCUUGGGAUUGACUUGAGUUCCUUGAUCGCUGAUAUUCACACGGGCUCCCACCAUGAUCCUAUGCCUCUUUGUCUUCCAUGCCAUAAUCUUGUACCUCACCGAAG